rnacentral:rRNA from 1 species
GAUGAACGCUAGCGGGAGGCUUAAUACAUGCAAGUCGAACGGUAACAGCAGAGCUUGCUCUGGCUGACGAGUGGCGCACGGGUGAGUAACGCGUACACAACCUACCUGAUACAGGGGAAUAGUCACGGGAAACUGUGAAUAAUACCCCAUAGUUUUUUCGGAUCGCAUGAUCUGAUUAAUAAAGUUCCGGCGGUAUCAGAUGGGUGUGCGUACUAUUAGGUAGUUGGUGAGGUAACGGCUCACCAAGCCGACGAUAGUUAGGGGGCUGAGAGCGUGAUCCCCCACACGGGUACUGAGACACGGACCCGACUCCUACGGGAGGCAGCAGUAAGGAAUAUUGGACAAUGGGCGCAAGCCUGAUCCAGCCAUCCCGCGUGCAGGAUGACGGCCCUAUGGGUUGUAACUGCUUUUUUAUAUAGGACGAAACGCCUUCAUUUAUGGGGGCCUGACGGUACUAUACGAAUAAGCACCGGCUAA